CCUACGGGGUGCAGCAGUAGGGAAUAUUGCUCAAUGGGGGAAACCCUGAAGCAGCAACGCCGCGUGGAGGAUGAAGGUUUUAGGAUUGUAAACUCCUUUUGUGAGAGAAGAUAAUGACGGUAUCUCACGAAUAAGCACCGGCUAACUCUGUGCCAGCAGCCGCGGUAAUACGGAGGGUGCAAGCGUUACUCGGAAUCACUGGGCGUAAAGAGUGCGCAGGCGGGCUUGUAAGUCAGAUGUGAAAUCCUAUGGCUUAACCAUAGAACUGCAUUUGAAACUGUUAUUCUAGAGUAUGGGAGAGGUAGGUGGAAUUCUUGGUGUAGGGGUAAAAUCCGUAGAGAUCAAGAGGAAUACUCAUUGCGAAGGCGACCUGCUAGAACAUAACUGACGCUGAUGCGCGAAAGCGUGGGGAGCAAACAGGAUUAGAUACCCGAGUAGUC
rnacentral:rRNA from 1 species